UUAUCCCUACGGGGCGCAGCAGUGAGGAAUAUUGGUCAAUGGCCGGAAGGCUGAACCAGCCAAGUCGCGUGAGGGAAUAAGGCCCUAUGGGUCGUAAACCUCUUUUGUCAGGGAGCAAAGGCGUCCACGAGUGGACGAAAGGAGAGUACCUGAAGAAAAAGCAUCGGCUAACUCCGUGCCAGCAGCCGCGGUAAUACGGAGGAUGCGAGCGUUAUCGGGAUUAAUGGGUUUAAAGGGGGGGGAGGCGGAGGGGUCAGUC
rnacentral:rRNA from 1 species